UGCACACAAGUAAACAAGUCUUAAGUGUCAACUGAUUCACCGUGGAGGCGGACAGUAAAGAACAAUUCCGUUCCUGUACAAAAAAAAUAGGCCAAGACACUGUGUGGAUCCAUGUGACAUCAUUUGACUGUGACGAGCUUCACAGAACAAAUUCAGCUGGAUCAUUGGGACGCUCUGCAUGACUCACUGAAAGAGCACCACGUGCUUCAGAAUUUCGGGGAUCGGGAGUGGAUGACACGUCGGCCAAAGCUACUCUCAGCAGAGAAUCAAAGAGUGGCACGGCGAGGUCAGAGUUGACCACCCCCGAGCAAGAAAGCUGCUCUUUGACUUCUAACAAGCUGAAGAUGUAUACCUGAGAAGAAAGCUCCAAGUCCGUCCUGGCACUGUUUAGACAAAUCGCCAAUAAGG